rnacentral:rRNA from 1 species
GCCAUGCCGCGUGCAGGAAGAAUGCCCUAUGGGUUGUAAACUGCUUUUAUUUAGGAAUAAACCCCUCUACGUGUAGAGGGCUGAAUGUACUAAACGAAUAAGCACCGGCUAACUCCGUGCCAGCAGCCGCGGUAAUACGGAGGGUGCAAGCGUUAUCCGGAAUCAUUGGGUUUAAAGGGUCCGCAGGCGGAUGUAUAAGUCAGUGGUGAAAUCCUGCAGCUUAACUGCAGAACUGCCAUUGAUACUGUACAUCUUGAAUUCGGUCGAAGUGGGCGGAAUGUGUAGUGUAGCGGUGAAAUGCAUAGAUAUUACACAGAACACCGAUAGCGAAGGCAGCUCACUAGGCCUGGAUUGACGCUCAGGGACGAAAGCGUGGGGAUCAAACAGGAUUAGAUACCCUGGUAGUCCACGCUGUAAACGAUGAUAUACUCGUUGUC